CCAAUGCCAUCUGGUGAGAAGGUCACCACCUUUUCCUUCAGAUUCAGAUCUGGACAAAUUUUCCAAGCCUUCAAAAUCUGAUACCUAGACUACUACAAUAUGCUUUACUCAGGGCUGUGCAGAUGACUAUACUUGCCUUCUGACAGGGAUAUGUUGCCAGGAGCAUAUAACUCCAGUGCUGUAGAAUCUGUCUUGACUCCAAAUAACUUUCCAAGAGAAACUCAAAGUUCUGAUUUUGGCCUAGAAGGCUCUGUUUACCAAAGGGACUACCUUCUCUUUUAUGCCCCAUCACAAUCCCUAGAGAGCAACCUCCUUCAAGUACUAUCCAAGUGCCAAGUCUGCUUAUCAAAACCACAUGGGAGAUUGUUCUCGAAAGUCACUCUUCUGGUCUGGAACCCCAUCCCUCUUAAGGCCCACCAGAGGUGGAUGUCUUUUGGAAGCACUGUAACAACUUCCUAUUUGAGCAGCCCUGCAACUGAACUGUGACCUUUAUGCUUACAAUGCAUUCAACAUCUAUUCAAAAUCAGUGGCCUCCAGAAUUUAAAAGUGGAAUUGACGUGGCAGAAGGAGCUAAGGUAUGGCAGAGACUGGCAAGCAGCUGCGACACAUUUCACAUUUUGACAGACCCCAAAGACUUCUACCAACUCUGUAAUAAUGAAAUCAUGUUAUUCAUUACUGAGAUGCAGCCAACUCUGGGGUAGAGAACAGUGUUGUUUAACACCACAGAAGAAUAUUGGCAGAAAUCAGAAUAUUGCCAGGUGGAGGUUAACACCUUAUCUGUUUGAAAGUACCUGGUGGAUUUUGACAGUUAGAAUGUAAGUAUU